CCCCCCCCCGGCCGCAGCGGCUUCCAGAAAGCACCCGACAAAAACACCUGUCAAGACAUCAACGAGUGCUUGACCUUCGGGACUUGCUCCCAGCUCUGCAACAACACCAAGGGUUCCCACGUCUGCAGCUGCGCCCGGAACUUCAUGAAAACCCAUCACACCUGCAAAGCAGAAGGCUCGGAGCAGCAGAUCCUGUACAUCGCCGCCGAC